rnacentral:rRNA from 1 species
AUGGUGGCACAAAAUCGGAAGCCCCGACUGUUUACUAAAAACACAACUAUCUGCAAUUAUGAAAAUAAUAGUAUAGGUAGUGAGAUUUGCCCAAUGCCAUAUCAAUAAGUAAUAAUAAUGGGUAACUGUUUCUUUACAAAAAAUUGGUUAAUAGCGGUCUUAACUAUGAGGAUCCUAAGGUAGCAAAAUAAAUUGGCCAUUAAAUGUGGUCCGGUAUCAAUAAUUUAACGAUGGCUUCACUGUCUCUACAACUUGCUCAGUG